rnacentral:other from 2 species
CGCUGCCUGCGGUAGUCGAGGAUGUCCUCGUAUGCCCUUAGAACCUAAUUUUCGCAUAGGGAACCAGGUUCCAGGCACUGUUGAGCAGACCACGUUAUACGUGGAAGGCCUGAAGUGUCGGGCCGGUACCCACUUGGACCUUUCGGUUCAAGGCCUCAGGGGGCCCACGACACAGGUGGGUAGCGC